rnacentral:misc_RNA from 1 species
GGAAGUUGAAACCAUCACUGACAUAAUGGCAAAAUCGAUAAAUAAAAUAACAAAUCCAAUAAGAGACUACACUAAUACACAUUUAAUUUGCAGGAAAGGGCAAUAAAUUCCAGAAAAGAAAUCCACAUAUUAAAUUGACUUAAGGCAGUUAACCAACAUUACAGAGAGACUUUGUAAUCAUGUUCAACAAGUAUUGCAACAAAAUCAAAUGUGUGAAAAGCAAUGCACUUCUAUUUGUCA